ensembl:lncRNA
UGGAAGGGAGGCUGGAAAUAAGAGAUUGCGACUAGACUUUUUGACUAGGGAAAUGAUGUUAAACAAAAAGCAAAUUCAAGCAAUUUUUAAAAUCUGAAUUCAGAAUGGAUUGUAAAGCAGUGGAGACAACUUGCAACAUCAGCAACACAUUUGGCUCAGGAACUGCUAACAGACAUACAGUGCAGUGGUGAUUCAAGAAGUUACAAAGGAGAUGAGAGUCUUGAAGAUGAGGAGCAUAGUGGCCAGUCAUCCGAAAUUGACGACAACUGAGAACCGUCAUUGAAGCUGAUCCUUUUAAAACUACAUGAGAAGUUGCCAAACAACUCACUGUCAACCAUUCUGAAGUCAUUCAGCAUUUGAAGCAAACUGGAAAGAUGAAAAAGCUUGAUAAGUGGAUGCCUCAUGAGCUGACUGAAAAAAAAAAUCAUUUUGAAGUGUCAUGUUCUCUUAUUCAACACAACAACAAUGAACCAUUUCUCCAUCAGAUUGUGACAUGUGACAAAAAGUGAAUUAUGUAUGACAACCAGCCAGUUCAGUGAUUGGACCAAGAAGAAGCUCCAAAGUACUUCCCAAAGCCAAACUUGCACCGAAAAAGGUCAUGGUCACUGUUUGGUGGUCUGCUGCAAUCUGAUCCACUACAGCUUUCUGAAUCCUGGUGAAACUAUUACAGUUGAGAAGUAUGCCCAGCAAAUUGAUCAGAUGCACUGAAAGCUGCAGUGCCUAGCUGUUACUGGUUAACAGAAAGAGCCCAGUUCUUCGCAACAAUGCCCAACUGCAUGCUGCACAACUGAUACUUCAAAAUUUGAACAAAUUGGGCUAUGAAGUCUUGCUUUCUUUGCCAUAUUCACCUGUUCUGUCAGCAACCGACUACCACUUCUAGAAGCAUCUUGAUAACUUUUUGCAGGGAAAAUACUUCCACAACUAGCAGGAGGCAGAAAAUUCUUUCCAAGAGCUCAUUGAAUCCCAAAGCAUGGAUUUUGACCCUACAAGAAUAAACCAGCUUAUUUUUCAUUUGGCAAAAAUAUGUUGACUGUAAUGGUUCCUAUUUUGAUUAAUAAAGUUGUGUUUGAG